GACGAACGCUGGCGGCGUGCUUAACACAUGCAAGUCGAACGGAAAGGCCCUGCUUUUGUGGGGUGCUCGAGUGGCGAACGGGUGAGUAACACGUGAGUAACCUGCCCUUGACUUUGGGAUAACUUCAGGAAACUGGGGCUAAUACAGGAUAGGAGCUCCUGCUGCAUGGUGGGGGUUGGAAAGUUUCGGCGGUUGGGGAUGGAUUCGCGGCUUAUCAGCUUGUUGGUGGGGUAGUGGCUUACCAAGGCUUUGACGGGUAGCCGGCCUGGGAGGGUGACCGGCCACAUUGGGACUGAGAUACGGCCCAGACUCCUACGGGAGGCAGCAGUGGGGAAUAUUGCACAAUGGGCGGAAGCCUGAUGCAGCAACGCCGCGUGCGGGAUGACGGCCUUCGGGUUGUAAACCGCUUUCGCCUGUGACGAAGCGUGAGUGACGGUAAUGGGUAAAGAAGCACCGGCUAACUACGUG
rnacentral:rRNA from 1 species